GGGGAACUACGAGUUCACUCCAACCCCUGUGACAUACCACUUGUUGCCUCGGCGGAUCAGCCCGCUCCCGGUAAAACGGGACGGCCCGCCAGAGGACCCCUAAACUCUGUUUCUAUAUGUGACUUCUGAGUAAAACCAUAAAUAAAUCAAAACUUUCAACAACGGAUCUCUUGGUUCUGGCAUCGAUGAAGAACGCAGCAAAAUGCGAUAAGUAAUGUGAAUUGCAGAAUUCAGUGAAUCAUCGAAUCUUUGAACGCACAUUGCGCCCGCCAGUAUUCUGGCGGGCAUGCCUGUUCGAGCGUCAUUUCAACCCUCAAGCACAGCUUGGUGUUGGGACUCGCGUUAAUUCGCGUUCCCCAAAUUGAUUGGCGGUCACGUCGAGCUUCCAUAGCGUAGUAGUAAAACCCUCGUUACUGGUAAUCGUCGCGGCCACGCCGUUAAACCCCAACUUCUGAAUGUUGACCUCGGAUCAGGUAGGAAUACCCGCUGAACUUAAGCAUAUCAAAAGCCCGGGAGG
rnacentral:rRNA from 1 species